UUUAUCCCGGAGGGCUUGUAGCUCAGUUGGUUAGAGCGCGCGCUUGAUAAGCGUGAGGUCGGAGGUUCAAGUCCUCCCAGGCCCACCAAUUUACCUAUCCAUUUGCUUUUAUCCGUUUAUUUGCCGAUUUAUCGGUCCAUUGAAUUUAAGUGUUGGUAGCAGUUUUUAUAAUGAUGAGAAAUCAUGCUUAUAAAAGAACUUCUUAUAAAAGGCUUGUUUUUAAAAUGUGACGCUUAUCCAUUUUGCUUAGGCAAGAGAAACUUCAAGCGGUUCAAAUGCAAAAGGCUUUAAAUUUUGCAAAACAAUUUGAAUUUUGCAAAACAAUUUGAAUUUUAAAGUGAUCCAAGUUCGUGAUCUCGAAUUUAAAAGUUUCGAAUGCUU
rnacentral:misc_RNA from 1 species